rnacentral:rRNA from 1 species
CUAUGCGCCUUGCCAGCCCGCUCAGGUGUGCCAGCAGCCGCGGUAAUACAGAGGUCGUCAAGCGCUGUUCGGAAUCACUGGGCGUAAAGCGUGCGUAGGCGGUUUCGUAAGUCGUGUCGUGAAAGGCGGGGGCGUCAACCCCCGGACUGCACAUGAUACUGCGAGACUAGAGUAAUGGAGGGGAACCGGAAUUCUCGGUGUAGCAGUGAAAUGCGUAGAUAUCGAGAGGAACACUCGUGGCGAAGGCGGGUUCCUGGACAUUAACUGACGCUGAGGCACGAAGGCCAGGGAGCGAAAGGG